rnacentral:rRNA from 1 species
CCUACGGGAGACAGCAGUGGGGGAUAUUGCACAAUGGAGGAAACUCUGAUGCAGCGACGCCGCGUGAGGGAAGACGGUCUUCGGAUUGUAAACCUCUGUCUUUGGGGAAGAAAAUGACGGUACCCAAAUAGGAAGCUCCGGCUAACUACGUGCCAGCAGCCGCGGUCAUACGUAGGGAGCGAGCGUUGUCCGGAAUUACUGGGUGUGAAGGGAGCGUAGGCGGGCGAGAAAGUUGAAUGUUAAAUCUACCGGCUUAACUGGUAGCUGCGUUCAAAACUUCUUGUCUUGAGUGAAGUAGAGGCAGGCGGAAUUCCUAGUGUAGCGGUGAAAUGCGUAGAUAUUAGGAGGAACACCAGUGGCGAAGGCGGCCUGCUGGGCUUUAACUGACGCUGAGGCUCGAAAGCGUGGGGAGCAAACAGGAUUAGAUACCCGAGUAGUC